UACAUCGGAAGCCUGUGUAUUUUGUUGAGUAAAUGCAUAAACUCUUCCUUGAGUUUUAAAAUCUGUCCACCAUCCUUGUUUUGUCCAUCAUAUGUUCUUUGGCCAAAUUAUUUUUCAAUGCUUAGUGGGCAAUUAGCAAUUUUAUGAUCCAUCUAACUACAUUUGAAACAAGCACCUGUAUUCCAAUAGCAAUCUUUGUCUGCAU
rnacentral:lncRNA from 1 species